AGCAGGCGCGCAAAUUACCCAAUCCCGACANGGGGAGGUAGUGACAAUAAAUAACAACACAGGGCUCUUUUGGGUCUUGUUAUUGGAAUGAGUACGAUUUAAAUCUCCUAACGAGGAACAAUUGGAGGGCAAGUCUGGUGCCAGCAGCCGCGGUAAUUCCAGCUCCAAUAGCGUAUAUUAAAGUUGUUGCAGUUAAAAAGCUCGUAGUUGAAUUUCAGGCCUGNNNGGACNGUCCGCCCUUCGGGUGAGUACUGUCUGUGGUCGGGUCCUACCUUCUGGCGAAGCGUCAUGGCCUUAACCGGCCGUGGCGGGGAACCAGGACUUUUACUGUGAAAAAAUUAGAGUGUUCAAAGCAGGCAAUCGCUUGGAUACAUUAGCAUGGAAUAAUGGAAUAGGACAAUGGUUCUAUUUGUUGGUUUCUAGGACCGUUGUAAUGAUUAAUAGGGAUAGUUGGGGGCAUUAGUAUUCAAUUGUCAGAGGUGAAAUCCUUGGAUUUAUUGAAGACUAACUACUGCGAAAGCAUUUGCCAAGGAUGUUUUCAUUAAUCAAGAACGAAAGUUGGGGGAUCGAAGACGUUCAGAUACCGUCGUAGUCUUAACCAUAAACUAUGCCGACUAGGAAUCGGGCGAUGUUGAAAAAAUGACGCGCUCGGCACCUCAUGGGAAACCAAAGUGUUUGGGUUCA
rnacentral:rRNA from 1 species